UUCCAUUCUUUUGUUACUAAGGAUUCUGCUAUAUGUUAGGGCACAUUCUGUCUAUGUGUGUGGCCACUUCUGGUGCCAGAGGGAAAUAUAAAAUAGCCCAUUUCUCAAUAUAUAUGUCCUCGGGCCAUUACUCUGCAUCUGACCUACAGUCUGGGUAGAGUUGCUUUGUCUGCAGUGAAGAUUUCACUCUUGUGUUUUACAGCACCUGGAAGGCAGCCAGUCACUGGAGAGAGCAAGCAGGAGUAUGAGAUACUACCGUGCAUCAGGACAGCCUUAAAGUGAAUGUCAUUUAUUCUCAGCUUUGAGAACUGAAUUCCAUGGGUUGUAAUUGAAUCCGCUGUCAGACCCAUGGGGCUCAGUUCUUCAGCUUGGAUAUUUCUGUCUUCAUACACACGGGAGAUCAAAGAAGCACUUGAUCAUUCACUGACUCUUCUGGAUGGUGAUAGCAGCAAGUAGGAGAGAAAGAAUAACUGAUGUGAAUCAUUUUAACAGGCAGGUUUCAUUGUGAAGGCCAGGCUCUCUCACGUUAAAUAGCUAUAUGGUGAUUGGAUCUCUCCUUAACUGAUAGGCUCUAUGUUGCUAUUCACUGCUUAAUUCACUCUGUUCUUUCCUCUCACUUUUAUCAAGGUUACAUAUAAAUCCUGAGAUAUUGCUGAUUGAACGACAGUCCCCAAAUAGUGCGAAGUGAUGCAGUGCUCCUACGAGCAGCUGUGGUGAGUUUCACUAGGCCAGUACAACCCUGGAUCUCCCCCACUUGAGCACCAAGUUUCCCAGCUGAUAAUGUGCUGUAACCUCCUCUGUCUGGUACCACUACUGUGCAGUUGUUUCUUUUGCUUUGCCAAAUACCCGUUGUCAGCAAGAAAAAUAUCUCGGUUGCUACUGUAAAGAAUAUGCAUUUGCACCAGCUGCGAGCACCCUUACAUAAACACACAUUUGCUUUCCUGAACAUGGUAAUAUGCUCCCAGAGUGUUUGGAUUAGGGAGUUUCUAGUGUAAUCAGUGGUGGCAACGUGAGUGCUGUUUGAAGGCUCAGCAGCACAAGCAUCCCUUUAUAGGGGGAUUUAUUUAAGUCACAGGCUAAUGUAUUUUUUAUUGGAGGAUCUGUGCUAAAAUUUUUCAUUCAGGCAUCAGGAAAAUAAUAUUUGUGGUCUUUAAACAUGUAAAGAGUUAUCAGUGCUAAUGAGCUUUCCACCUCUUUCCUGCAAUAAUAACACCUUCUAAAUUACAUUUUUCCAGCUCAGUAAAGUGAUACAUUGAUCUCAUCCCUGUGGUGCAAUGCUCGCAAAAGCAUAGAAAUAUUAAAAUCCCACAGGUGCAGGAGCAGCGUGCUCAGCUAAGUAGCUUAAAACUGUCAUGUGCCUUUUAUUCUGAAAAUGUAUUUACACUAAAAAAAAUCAGAUACAAUCGCUGCUGCCUGUGGAUACAGAUGUACCUUCAUACUGAAGUGCUUUUUAUACAGGUUUUUAUUCUAGGUGUUGAAGAUGUUCUUUGUGGCUGUCUGAAGUGUAUUGUGCUCACUAGUCUGGAUAUUACAGUUACUGGAAGAAUUCAGCAGCUCCAGCAGCUCCUGCUGUGAGAAUAUCCAUUAAAGAAGAGGGAGGAAUGCACAAAGCAGAGUGAUGAAGUCUCAUUUUUUCAUUUCCUCUAUCGUCCCUGUCAGAAAGAGGAAAUGAAAUUUGAGGUCAGAGUUAGAAAAAUCUGCAGAAGAAGAGGAACAGAAUAGUUCUACAGGAUGUCUAAUGCAGGCAGCGUGAUGGAUAGUAGAUGGCUGAAGGCACAAAACUUCAUCCACUUCCUUCGCUAUGAAGUCCAGCCUUCAGGCAGUGAUGCAGCAGAGAAGAUGAUGUGUUUAUAGUGGUAAUCACACAAGGUCACUGGUGAAAUCAAGAUGGUCUUUGGUGCAGGAGUCUUUGCAGUCCCAUCUCUUUGAGGGCAGUCCUCAAAAUAUGGUGCUCCUGUAGUUACUUUUGAACCUUGCUUGCCCUGUGGGUGACAAGGCAUCUUCUUUUUGGACAUUCUUGGGAUCUUUAAAUCAGGCUCAUGUAAGGAAGAGUUUUGCCUGGAUGCAGAAAUCUGUGGUUCUUGUGACAUUUUUAGGCACAUCAACUGGUUCACACAGCCCUUGCGAACAGACCGGAGGCUGCAGCACAUCCUUCAGUGCCUGGGCACUUGCACCAUGGUAGGGGCUUAGCAGUGGAAAUUUUUAUCUCUCCCAGCAGGAAAACAAAGCUUUUCUCUUGACUGAGCUCUCAUGCGGUGCUGACAGCACUGGCUGGGGCGCUGCCAAAGAACAAAGGGCAAUAUUGUCUUUAAAAAGCAGAAAGCGCAUUAAAAGUUUCUAAGCUCUGUUUGUGAAAAUCUCGGAGUCACUUCAUUAGGAGCUCAGAAUUGGUCUGACUCCUUCCAGCCUCCCCACUUCACCCUCGUCUCUGCGCGAUAUUGCAGCUGCUCUGAUGAAAAACAGUUAUUUAAAAAUCUGCUCGUAGCUAUGGCAACCUUCAUGCACUGCGUUCGACCAAAACUCUGAAACAGCAGCAGAAGUUUCUUAACAGGAGACAGGAGGAACUGUGUGCAGAAGAGAGCGCCCUGGUUUGCGGUGGGAAGCUGGUGUGAGGAAUUAAAGCUCCUGUUGUGACAGAGAUGACAACAAAAGCAGAAAGCUUCCUCGUGCGGAAGGAAAGCCCGUCAACUGAGACAUUCAGAGAUGAUACACCGGUAUUGAACAGUGACUGUCACACUCAUUUCCAAAGUGCCAUUAUGGCAGCACAGGUCAGGCUUUUGAAGCUUCCUUGCCAAAGGCUGCCUGGCAAGGUUUCUUCCCACCACUGCAGCUGACUGGCAGGAUUUGUUUCCACCUACGCUUUAGCAUAACGGGCACAGCGAAGAGUAAACAAAUCCUCUUCAGUGCCCUCCCUUCCCAUUCCAAAAUCCUGGGGAUUUUGUGUGCCCACUGCACGUAACAAGGAAAAUCAACUCGAGGUUCCCUGUGGCAGGGGCCAUCAGAGCCAUACUCUCUGUCAGGCUCUGGGAGCUGCCUGCAUUACAGCAUACUUUCCCCACCAUUUAACAUCAUCACUGCAACCUCCCACUGCCGUCACCCAUCUCCAAAGGGCUGUUAUUGCCCAGUCUUCAGAUGCUGGUAUAAGCAAAUAGCUCAAGCUGAGAAGUCUGGUAUUGGUACAUUACAGGAAAAUCUCUCAACCUUAAAAUUGCUUAUGGUAAAAAGCCCCAGUGUACAGAUAUCACUGUCUAACACACCAAACCACCUCAGGAGUUUAGGAAUAAACGUGGCAUACACUGAUGUGAAUGUUUAUGGGGUGAGGGAAGACUGGCACAAAAUACAAAGAAGCUGUGUUUGAAGGAAAUGCAUCUUAACAUAAAGGUAUUCUAAUCUUUACCCUUCAGUAUUUAAGUCAGUGCAGCCAUUAUUAAAGCAAUUAAAAUGCAAUUACUUUUUCAUCUUUAUUUCAGUUCUUGGAUAAUUAAAGCUGCUUUACAUCAAGGGUGAUCCAUAAAGGAAGGCAUUUUGCAUGUGAAAAGCUGCAAAGGGUGGAAGACUUUGGGGUAUCAGCAGUGAGCAGCAAGCAACUGAGAUUGUUAAUGCUACAGUAAGCUGCCUCCUUUUGCAUCUCUAUGGGAUCAUGGAAAGAGGCCACUUGCUGGAUUUCUGUGCUCUGUCUUGAUUAAAUGGCUGUUUCAAUUUGAUAUUCACUCCUUUCAUACUUGUAAUCACUUUAAGAUUUUCAUUUUAUAGUAUUCACUUAUUUAACUGCUUGUUUCCUGCCAAGUCUAAAAAAAGAAAGGCUUUUCCCUCCCUUCUCCUUGCUGCAAUAAA